UGACUAUUUUGUCAAAUAAAGAACUCUUUACCGCUCAACUGCAUAAAAAGAAAACUAAAUACAUACAUUUAGUACAUGCAGUCUGGACGGUUAACAGUGUUGAUGCAAAAUGAAUACAUAUAAUGUCAGAUAAUGGUGAGAAAUGUCUACAAUUUAGAGCCCAACCAGUACUGAACUGUGUUGGGGGGGAGAACAAUACUGAUAUUAGGGAGUUAAAAACAAAAAAAAUUACAAUACCAAUAUGUCUGCCUAUAUAUACAUUAAAAAUGGAAAUGAUUACUAACGUUUCAUAAUCAAACCCUUAUGACGAAGAAAUGUAAUUGAGGCUUGACUUUUUUACAGUAUAAACAAGAACUUUAU